rnacentral:rRNA from 1 species
CCUACGGGAGGCAGCAGUGAGGAAUAUUGGACAAUGGGCGCAAGCCUGAUCCAGCCAUGCCGCGUGCAGGAAGAAGCAUCUAUGGUGUGUAAACUGCUUUUGUACAGGAAGAAACACUCCCUCGUGAGGGAGCUUGACGGUACUGUAAGAAUAAGGACCGGCUAACUCCGUGCCAGCAGCCGCGGUAAUACGGAGGGUCCGAGCGUUAUCCGGAAUCAUUGGGUUUAAAGGGUCCGUAGGCGGUUUAAUAAGUCAGUGGUGAAAUCUGGUCGCUCAACGAUCAAACGGCCAUUGAUACUGUUAGACUUGAAUUAUAAGGAAGUAACUAGAAUAUGUAGUGUAGCGGUGAAAUGCUUAGAUAUUACAUGGAAUACCAAUUGCGAAGGCAGGUUACUACUUAUGGAUUGACGCUGAUGGACGAAAGCGUGGGGAGCGAACAGGAUUAGAUACCCUGGUAGUCCACGCCGUAAACGAUGGAUACUAGCUGUUCGGAGCAAUCUGAGUGNGUAGAGAAGAGAGUAAGUAAGUACCGACCGUACGGGAGGUACGGUUAACGGUCGAAGAAGUUAGUAAACGUUAACGAAAGGAAAGUUAGAGGCGNGAGAGNGCGACGGACGACGACGAGGGAGGAGG